CAGCCGCCGCGGUAAUACCAGCAGCCCAAGUGGUGGUCGCGAUUAUUGGGCCUAAAGCGCACGUAGCCGGGCCGGUAAGUCCCUUGUGAAAUCGGACGGCCUAACCGUUCGGCGUGCAAGGGAUACUGUCGGUCUUGAGGCCGGGAGACGUCCGAGGUACUCCGGGGUAGCGGUGAAAUGUUCCAAUCCUCGGGGGACCACCGGUGGCGGAGGCGUUCGACGAGAACGGGCCUGACGGUGAGGGGCGAAGGCUAGGGGAGCAAACGGGAUUAGAUACCCCUGUAGUCCCUGUCUCUUAUAC
rnacentral:rRNA from 1 species